UACAGAGGUGGCAAGCGUUGUUCGGAAUUACUGGGCGUAAAGGGCGCGUAGGCGGUCUUGUCAGUCCCUUGUGAAAUCCCCCGGCUCAACUGGGGAACUGCACGGGAAACAGCAGGGCUUGAGUUCGGGAGAGGGAAGCGGAAUUCCGGGUGUAGCGGUGAAAUGCGUAGAUAUCAUCUGGAACGCCAAUGGUGAAAACAGCUCGCUGGGGGUUUGCAGACGCUGAGACACGAAAGCCAGGGGAGCGAACGGG
rnacentral:rRNA from 1 species